CUGAGACAGGCUGUCACCCAGGCUGGAGUGCAGUGGCACAAUCUUGGCUCACUGCAACCUCCGCCUCCUGGGCUUGUAUAAUCCUCCCACCUCAGCCUCCUGAGUAGCUGGGACCACAGGUGCAUGCCACCAUGCCUGGCUAAUUUUUAAAUUUUUUGCAGAGACAAGGUUUCACUAUGUUGCCCAGGCUAGUCUUGAACUCCCGGGCUCAAGCAAUCCUCCCACCUCAGUCUCCUAAAGUGCUGGGAUUACAGGUGUGAGCCACUGUGCCCUGCCAGGGAUGGAGCAUCUUUGCAGUAUUUCAUUACUCUCAGCUCAUGGCAGAGUGUUCAAAAGGCAGGGGUAGGGUAAGGGCUGAAUUAUGGAGCAGCAGGUCCAGUAAGUAGAAAGGCCACUUCCCACUUAGCCUGAAUACAUUCUAUGAAGUGGAAGAGGAAAGACCUGAGGGAUGUCAUGGCAACCACUUAUGUUAGCAGGAGCAUGCCCAAAGCUCAGAGACCAGGAGUGCAGGAUAGGCCACUCAGGGACCAGGGGUGCAGGGCAGCAACUCAAAGCCCUAAGUGCCACCAGGUCAGGGCAGAGUAGGCUCUUGGCAAAUAACAGUAAAUAUCAGUUCCUAAUGUCAGUUAAUGACCCCUGACCUGGCAGAUUCCAUUUCAGCACCCUACCUUGUCCUCUGUGAAGGAGGCCACCCAAACUGUCUCACUGGUUCUAGGUACACAAAACCCAAAUCUGAGAAAUCCACUAGAUUGGCAGAAGCAAAGGGACUCAGUACCACAGGAAGUUCGCUUUUCUGUGUCACUAUAUCAAAAGCUACCACAAAUGCAGACAAUAACGGCUCUUUAAUAUUAAAGGGAAAAGCUAACCUGUCCAGCUACAGCAGCAAAGUAACCAUACAGCGGAUCCUGAGUUUGUCCGGGAAACGCAGGCCCUCCGGGAGCCCCUCCAUACUGUGAAACAGGAAACACAUACACGUCAUUCUGCCGAAUCAAGUUUUCUUCUUUCACCACUGAGGGCUUUUGUGCAAGGCCAGACAACUGCCCGCCUGCCCGCCCUUCACAAGGCUCACCUCCCCACCACCGGGCACACUCUGCCAACACUCCACCCCUCUCUUCCAUUCACACCCCGUAAUUUAAAAACUGGCGACUUAGACCAUAAAGAGUUGCUGUGAAAGUGAUGUCUACAUAUGUAAAGCAACUUUUAAAAUCCCUAUUAACCUGAAGGUUACUGAGGUUCUGGAAGCAGCUAUCGCAAGUGCUUAAAUGUUCCUCCUGUGACUCUGUGACUGUCCAAAGUCCCUGUUUCCAGUUCAGCUUUCUUUGAAAAGCCCUUGAGCUUUAAUAUCACCAUCAUGCCUCAUUAAAACUCCUAUUCACUGGGUGCAGAAGACUGCUUAUUACUGAAAGUAAUUUGACUAAAACAUAAAUACUGCAAAAUCAUUAUUCACAACAGCCAAGAUGUAGAGGUGAUUCAAAUGUCCAUCAGUGAAUGAAUAGAUAAAGAAAUGUGGUAUAUACAUACAAUGGAAUCUUAGCCUAAAAAAGAAAGAAUUCCUGUCAUAUGCUACAGCAUGGAUGAACCUUGAGGACCUUAUGGAGAAGAAUGUGUCUCUGGUAGCCAAUUGAUCCAAAAAGGAUCUGACAUUUUCAGAUGUGGAACCAAGGCCAGCCAAGCCCAGCCAAGCCCAGCAUAGAUCCGAUCCGCCAAAGCCCAACUGUCUUACAGAUGUAUAAACUGGAAUAAAUGUUGCUUUAUACUUA
rnacentral:lncRNA from 1 species